rnacentral:sRNA from 1 species
CGGCCACCGAAGCCACCGCGGCCACGGAGAAGGGCGAGAAGAAGAAGGAGAAAAACGUUUCUUCAUUUCAACUCAAACUUGCUGCUAAAGCGCCUAAAUCUGAAAAGGAAAUGGACCCAGAAUAUGAAGAGAAAAUGCUACCGCCAUAGGCGCACAGAGCAAGAAGAAGAUGAAGAGCUACUGUCCGAGAGUCGGAAAACAUCUAAUGUGUGUAUUAGAUUUGAGGUGUCACCUUCAUAUGUGAAAGGGGGGCCACUGAGAGAUUAUCAGAUUCGAGGACUGAAUUGGUUGAUCUCUUUAUAUGAAAAUGGAGUCAAUGGCAUUUUGGCUGAUGAAAUGGGCCUUGGGAAAACUUUACAAACAAUUGCUUUGCUUGGUUACCUGAAACACUACCGAAAUAUUCCUGGACCUCACAUGGUUUUAGUUCCAAAGUCUACUUUACACAACUGGAUGAAUGAAUUUAAACGAUGGGUCCCAUCUCUCCGUGUCAUUUGUUUUGUCGGAGACAAGGAUGCCAGAGCUGCUUUUAUUCGUGAUGAAAUGAUGCCAGGAGAGUGGGAU